rnacentral:rRNA from 1 species
GGUAACCUGCGGAAGGAUCAUU